rnacentral:rRNA from 1 species
CCAAUAGCGUAUAUUAAAGUUGCUGCAGUUAAAAAGCUCGUAGUUGAAUUUCGGGACUAAUAUGUCGGUCGUGCCUCGGUACGUACUGGCUUAUUGGUUUCUCCUUUCUGAAGAACCAUGAUGUCAUUUAUUUGGUGUCGUGGGGAAUCAGGACUGUUACUUUGAAAAAAUUAGAGUGUUUAAAGCAGGCUCACGCUUGAAUACAUUAGCAUGGAAUAAUGAAAUAGGACGUUUGAUUCUAUUUUGUUGGUUUCUAGGAUUGACGUAAUGAUUAAUAGGGAUAGUUGGGGGCAUUAGUAUUCAAUUGUCAGAGGUGAAAUUCUUGGAUUUAUUGAAGACUAACUACUGCGAAAGCAUUUGCCAAGGAUGUUUUCAUUAAUCAAGAACGAAAGUUAGGGGAUCGAAGACGAUCAGAUACCGUCGUAGUCUUAACCAUAAACUAUGCCGACUAGGGAUCGGAUGAUGUUAAUUUUUUAAUGACUCAUUCGGCGCCUUACG